AAAACCCUAAGUGCAUCUCAUUAGGUCUUUUAAGGGUUGUAACGUGGCUUAGGGCAUAAGGUGAGAAAUUUUUGGCACGAGGCUAAGGUCAUUCUGAACUUCAUUCUGGGCAACAGAUUUCCCAGAUUUUUCAAUUCCUUGCCUAUUCUUGCGGGCCUAAGCACAUACUUCCCAUUAUUUUCUCUUUUCUUUCGUCUAUUNUUUUUUCUUUUACUUUCUUUCUUCUUACGAACUUUUCUCUAUUUUGGGAUCAGAUUUCCCAUUUUGCAAUUUUUUGUGCUAGUCCUGCCCAUAAGGUCCACUACACUAUCUUCCCUUCUUUUGCCCUUAAGUUCAGUUUGACCGGGACGGCUCAAAUCUAGGCAAAUUUAUGAGUGAAUUCAAAUGAAUUAUUAAGCUCAAAAGGGGUUUUCGAGUGAUAGAUGUAGGGUUGGUCAGUUUGGUUCUGUGGGCUAAAGAAAG
rnacentral:lncRNA from 1 species